CCAGACUCCUACGGGAGGCAGCAGUGAGGAAUAUUGGUCAAUGGGCGCGAGCCUGAACCGGCCAAGUCGCGUGAGGGAAGACGGUCCUAUGGAUUGUAAACCUCUUUUGUCGGGGAGCAAAAGACGCCACGUGUGGCGUUCCGAGAGUACCCGAAGAAAAAGCAUCGGCUAACUCCGUGCCAGCAGCCGCGGUAAUACGGAGGAUGCGAGCGUUAUCCGGAUUUAUUGGGUUUAAAGGGUGCGCAGGCGGAAGAUCAAGUCAGCGGUAAAAUUGAGGGGCCCAACCUCUUCGAGCCGUUGAAACUGGUUUUCUUGAGUGAGCGAGAAGUAUGCGGAAUGCGUGGUGUGGCGGUGAAAUGCAUAGAUAUCACGCAGAACUCCGAUUGCGAAGGCAGCAUACCGGCGCUCAACUGACGCUCAUGCACGAAAGCGUGGGUAUCGAACAGGAUUAGAUACCCCGGUA
rnacentral:rRNA from 1 species